rnacentral:rRNA from 1 species
GAUGAACGCUGGCGGCGUGCCUAAUACAUGCAAGUCGAGCGAACAGACGAGGAGCUUGCUCCUCUGACGUUAGCGGCGGACGGGUGAGUAACACGUGGAUAACCUACCUAUAAUACUGGGGUAACUUCGGGAAACCGGAGCCAAUACUGGAUAAUAUAUUGAACCGCAUGGUUCAAUAGUGAAUGACGGUUUUGCUGUCACUUAUAGAUGGAUCCGUGCCGCAUUAGCUAGUUGGUAAGGUAACGGCUUACCAAGGCAACGAUGCGUAGCUGACCUGAGAGGGUGAUCAGCCACACUGGAACUGAGACACGGUCCAGACUCCUACGGGAGGCAGCAGUAGGGAAUAUUGCACAAUGGGCGAAAGCCUGACGCAGCAACGCCGCGUGGGUGAAGAAGGUCUUCGGAUCGUAAAGCUCUGUUAUUAGGGAAGAACAAAUGUGUAAGAAACUAUGGACGUCUUGACGGUACCUAAACAGAAAGCACCGGCUAACUACGUG